rnacentral:rRNA from 1 species
GCGUUUUGGAAUGAAUGUGGGUUUUAAUUCGAUGGCCACGCGGAAAAACCUUACCCACCCUUUGACAUGUACGGAAUCCUUUAGAGAUAGAGGAGUGCUCGAAAGAGAAACCGUAACACAGGGUGCUGCAUGGGCUGUCGUCAGUCUCGUGUCGUGAGAAUGUUGGGUUAGUCCCGCAACCGAGCGCAACCCUUGUCAUUAGUUGCUACAUUUAGUUGGGCACUCUAAUGAGACUGCCGGUGACAAACCGGAGGAAGGUGGGGAUGACGUCAAGUCCUCAUGGCCCUUAUAGGUGGGGCUACACACGUCAUACAAUGGCUGGUACAAAGGGUUGCCAACCCUCGAGGGGGAGCUAAUCCCAUAAAACCGAUCGUAGUCCGCGAUCGCAGUCUGCAACUCGACUGCGGUGCAAGUCGGUAAUCGCCCUAGUAUCGCGGCAUUAUUUCCAUC